UACGUAGGGUGCAAGCGUUGUCCGGAAUUAUUGGGCGUAAAGAGCUCGUAGGCGGUCUGUCGCGUCUGCUGUGAAAACUCGGGGCUUAACCCCGGGCCUGCAGUGGGUACGGGCAGACUAGAGUGCGGUAGGGGAGACUGGAAUUCCUGGUGUAGCGGUGAAAUGCGCAGAUAUCAGGAGGAACACCGGUGGCGAAGGCGGUGCUCUGGGCCGGAACUGACGCUGAGGAGCGAAAGCGUGGGGAGCAAACAGG
rnacentral:rRNA from 1 species